GAUGAAGAACGUAGUGAAAUGCGAUAAGUAAUGUGAAUUGCAGAAUUCAGUGAAUCAUCGAAUCUUUGAACGCACAUUGCGCCCGCCAGCAUUCUGGCGGGCAUGCCUGUUCGAGCGUCAUUUCAACCCUCGAGCCCGACUUCCUUGCGGAGGACGGCUCGGCGUUGGGGGACGGCACACUCCCCCCGGCUCGCCGGGGACGCCGCCCCCGAAAUUCAGUGGCGGCCCUCGGAGGCGACCUCUGCGUAGUAACUCAACCUCGCAAAGGGAAGCUCCGAGCGGCCACGCCGUGAAACCCCAACUAUAUCAAGGUUGACCUCGAAUCAGGUAGGACUACCCGCUGAACUUAAGCAUAUCAAUAAGCGGGGA
rnacentral:misc_RNA from 1 species